rnacentral:rRNA from 1 species
AUUGAACGCUGGCGGCAGGCCUAACACAUGCAAGUCGAACGAGUGGCGGACGGGUGAGUAAUGUAUGGGAAACUGCCUGAUGGAGGGGGAUAACUACUGGAAACGGUAGCUAAUACCGCAUACCAUCAGAUGUGCCCAGAUUGGAUUAGAUAGUUGGGGGGGUAACGGCUCACCAAGGCGACGCUCCCUAGCGGGUCUGAGAGGAUGACCAGCCACACGGGAACUGAGACACGGUCCAGCCUCCUACGGGAGGAAGCAGUGGGGAAGAUUGCACAAUGGGCGCAAGCCUGAUGCAGCCAUGCCGCGUGUAUGAAGAAGGCCUUCGUGUUGUAAAGUACUUUCAGCGGGGAGGCGUUACCCGCAGAAGAAGCACCGGCUAACUCCGUGCCAGCAGCCGCGGUAAUAC